rnacentral:RNase_P_RNA from 1 species
GAGUUCUGUCGGAUAACUGCGCGAAUCGAAAGAGAGUGAGGAAAGUCCGGACACCGAGGAAUGAAUGAACCGGAUAACAUCCGGAGUGAGUGUUUCGCAAGAGAUACUUGCAUGGAAAGUGCCACAGAAAAUAUACCGCCUGAUAAAAGUGGCAAAGUUGCCUAAGCAGCCAAGCUAUAUUCGGGUAAGGGUGAAAUGGCGAGGUAAGAGCUCACCGCCUAGUUCGUAAGAAGUAGGGCAGGGUAAACCCUUCAUGGUGCAAUCUCAAGUAAGCAACCGUUUGAGCCCAUUCCGCUAGGUUGCGGGUAGAGAGCAAAGAGUUUUAAGGUAACUUGAAACCAAGAUAAAUAGUUAUCCAUUGCCUAAAAGGGGUUAAUCCCGAUUAGGCGAGGACAGAAUCCGGCUUAUAGACAGAAUUCAUUU